AAAAAUCCAGAAGUGUUAGAAUAUAUUCUUUGGAGUGAUAGCUUUGUACCUCAGAAUACAAACUCUCUGAUUUCACUUGCUUUAACUUCAUUCAUUCAAAAACAUAAAAAUACAGUAUAAAAAGUAUUACAAUGAAAUUUUCUACACCAGGACACUCAUGUAUUCAAGAGGUAGAUAACAUUCAUUCGAAUAUCGAAAAAGCUCUGAAAAUUUUAGAAGUUUGGUCUCCAGUCUCUCUAAUAAGAUUGUUUUUGUUUUGCAACAGAAAAUCCCCUUAUGAUGUAAUUCAAAUGAAGGCUAAUGAUUUCCGUGACUACCACACUCCAACCAAAGUAUUUGCGUACUGUAAAAUACCAUAUACAAAAGGUAGCUCAAUUGACAUUUUCAUCACGUGAUUCACUUACUGUUUAUUUUAAAAAUAGCUAUGGCAGUCAGACAUGGUUAAAGAAAAUUUAUUAAAAGGAAGAACCACAAGGAACAAAAUGCAACAGCAUCCAAAUAUUUUUGAGACUUACCUUCCCAGAAGCAAAAGUUUCUUCACAAAAUAACAAAAUAUGUCAAGAGAAGGUAAAAGAUAUCAAAUCAAUGAUGAAAUGGAUGCCUCCUGUUGAUGUAGAGUUCUAUAAAACAGUUUUAUGCAAAACUUAGAA
rnacentral:lncRNA from 1 species